rnacentral:lncRNA from 1 species
GAGCAGAGCUAAUAGCUGAACUCCUGGAAUUAAAUUAGCCAGUCACAUUUUCUGGAACAAGCUUAAAUUAGCAAAGUGACCAGCACAGUGAUUAAAACAAAACCGUGAACUAUAUCAGUGCUUUACUUCAUAGGAUUGCAGAAUUUUUGAUCAUGUAUCAAAGUGUUAGAAAUAGAUUUAUUGUCUUAUGAAGUCACAUCCCUGGUCCUUUGAACUGAGCAGCUUUUGCUGCCCCAGGUGGAGAAAGAAUAGAGUUAAAUAUGUUCAUUAUGACGGCUGAUUGUAUCUGUUUCAGUUAUUUACACGGGGGCUAAUUAAGUUUGAUGGGAAAUAUUCUGUAAAUAUGAAUUUACUUUGUCAAGCAGAUGAAUGCAAAUCAACAGAUUUAAUACAGUUUUGACAUUCUCCACUGAUGGCAGGAAAAUUAAAACAUUCCUAAGUAAAUGAAUAGCCAGGAUGUUUCUGUAGAUAUAAUUGCUUGGAUUAUCAAUGCAGAAGACUAACAUAAAAACAAGAUGAAAUGAUCUUUUUCUGCAGGGAUUCCUUUACAUACAGGCUACCCCAGGACUCAUUGCAGCUUAUUCAAUAAUUGCAUAGCUAUAAAUUUUCUGUCUGUCUUCUGCAAAGGAUCAUAUGGCUGCAGGCCUAUAGGAGGAAACCCAAAACUGCACCACACCUGCCCAGAUUUACCCAUAAGUAGCUGUAGAAGGCUUAGAUACUGACAAGUGAGUUCCUCUCCUUUACUGACAAGAUUUAUAGGGAAAGAGGUUGGCCCAGUGAAAGGUUUCAUUGUCUGCAGGUUAAAUGCAAAAGUGCUUCCUGAUCCCCUGGAAUGGAAACAGAAGUGUCUUACUACAGCAGAAAGCAGUUUUCCAGCAGAAAAUUCGGGGAGAAGGAAGUACAUUGAAUGUUAGUGUGUGGCAGGUCCUGGAGCAGAGCAUCCCUGUGAACACACUGUGGAAUAGAUGUGCAGGCUUGCCUGAUGAGAAUGACCCACAAGGCUGCUUCAGACACAAGAAGUGGAAUGUGAUGGUAGGAUGGGAAUGUCUCCAGAAGAAACAGGAAAGAGGAGAUAAGCUAUGUUAGCUGCUGACUGCAGUUGCCUCUAAGGAGAGUUAGUUCCAGGAAGAUCAGAGCAUUGGAGAAAGCAGGGGAAGGGAAAGGGGAGUGAGCAAAGCAACAAACAAGAAAAGAGAUUAUUAUGGAGACACUUCAUAAGAGAGAGAAGUAAAAAAGGACAGCAAGCAGUUUUUCAAUUAAAACUCUCCCCAUGUUGGACACCAGAAUUUUCAACAGAGGAAAAACCCCUAAAUGUCCAUUUUCUUGAUUUAAGCAUCAGCCUUUUUUCUGCUGCAGGAUGAAGCCUCUGUUCAAUGUAAGCCACUGAGCAAGCUGUGGUUAAAGCACCCCACUGAACUGAAAUGGAGAGAGCUUUGAUCACAGUGUUUGUUGGAAUUGUUUUCUGAGCAUUUACCUUCUUUUCCCAUGUAGAUCAAACAUAAGGAUAUCAUUCUGUGUUUGAGAUAAUAAAGACCUUGCUGGAAGGCA